rnacentral:rRNA from 1 species
GACGAACGCUGGCGGCGUGCCUAAUACAUGCAAGUAGAACGCAGUUGCGAACGGGUGAGUAACGCGUAGGUAACUGACUGGUAGAGGGGGAUAACUAUCGGAACCGAUAGCUAAUACCGCAUACUACCAGAUGGACCUGCGUUGUAUUAGCUAGUUGGGGGGGUAGCGGCUCACCAAGGAAACGAGACAUAGCCGACCUGAGAGGGUGUGCGGCCAACCUGGGACUGAGAAACGGCCCAGACUCCUACGGGAGGCAGCAGUAGGGAAUCUUCGGCAAUGGACGAAAGUCUGACCGAGCAACGCCGCGUGAGUGAAGAAGGUUUUCGGAUCGUAAAACUCUGUUGUUAGAGAAGCGGUAUCUAACCAGAAAGCCACGGCUAACUACGUGCCAGCAGCGCGGUAAUAC